GACCAUAAGGCCUCAAACCCACCAACCCUGNNNNNNNNNNNNNNNNNNNNNNNNNUUCCUGGGUCCUGGAUGGGGAGCUGUCCAUGGUGCUGAUGGGAGCUGUCAAUGGUCCUGAUGGGAGCUGUCCAUGUUCUGAUGGGAGCUGUCCGUGGUCCUGAUUGGGAGCUGUCCGUGGUGCUGACGGGGGGAGGGUCCCAUCCCAUGGGCAACUGGGUGACACCUGAUCCCAUAAUAAUGGACAUGGACAAUGGGGGCACACGAAGACCCACACAGGCCUCAAACCCCACAACCUGCAGCCGGUUGGGACCCCCAGGAAGGGCUUGGGGGGCUGGGGAGGAGGGGACGCGUGAAGGGGGAGAUAUAGGGGGGAAGGAGGGGGCGCUGUCCGUGGUGCUGAUGGGAGCUGUCCAUGGUCCUGAUUGGGAACUGUCCAUUGUGCUGAUGGGAGCUGUCCGUGGUGCUGAAGGUGGCUGCGGAUGGACUAGAGGGUGCCGUGGUUGAUGGUUUGGGCACCAGCUGUGGGGCAGGUGGGGGGCAAUGGGGACAUGGGGGUCUCAUCCCAUGGGGACAAGUGGGUGACAUCUCAAUUCCAUCCUAUGGGAACAUCUGGGUGACAAUGGGGCCACCUGGGUCUCAUCCUAUAGGGAUAUUGGGGUCCCAUUGAGAACAUGGGGGUCCCAUUGAGGAUAUGGGGGUCCCAUAUGGGUCUUAUUGGGAACAUGGGGGUCCCAUAUGGGUCUUUUUGGGAACAUGGGGGUCCCAUAAGGGUCCCAUUGAGAACAUGGGGGUCUCAUUGAGGACAUGGGGGUCCCAUAUGGGUCCCAUUGAGGAUAUGGGGGUUCCAUCUGGAUGCCAUUGAAGACAUGGGGGGUCCCAACCCAUGGGGACAAGUGGGUCCCAUUGAGAACAUGGGGGUCCCAUUGAGGAUAUGGGGGUCUCAUAUGGGUCCCAAUGGGAACAUGGGGGUCCCAUAAGGGUCCCAUUGAAGACAUGGGGGUCCCAUUGAGAACAUGGGGGUUCCAUUGAGGAUAUGGGGGUCCCAUAGAGGACAUGGGGGUCCCAUUGAGAACAUGGGGGUCCCAUUGACCCCAUGGGGGUCCCAUAGAGGACAUGGGGGUCCCAUUGAGAACAUGGGGGUCCCAUUGAGGACAUGGGGGUCCUAUAGAGGAUAUGGGGGUCUCAUAUGGGUCCCAAUGGGAACAUGGGGGUCCCAUAAGGGUCCAUUGAAGACAUGGGGGUCCCAUUGAGAACAUGGGGGUCCCAUUGAGAACAUGGGGGUCCCAUAGAGGACAUGGGGGUCCCAUUGAGAACAUGGGGGUCCCAUUGAGGAUAUGGGGGUCUCAUAUGGGUCCCAAUGGGAACAUGGGGGUCCCAUUGAAGACACGGGGGUCCCAUUGAUAACAUGGGGGUCCCAUAUGAGUCCCAUUGAUAACAUGGGAGCCCCCCACCCCCCAAGUAUCCCCUCCCCCCCUCUGUAUGUCGCCCCUCCCCCCGAAUUUUG
rnacentral:lncRNA from 1 species